UCGCCUUUUCACAAGAUGGCGCCGAAAGCGAAGAAGGAAGCUCCUGCCCCUCCUAAAGCCGAAGCCAAAGCGAAGGCUUUAAAGGCCAAGAAGGCAGUGUUGAAAGGUGUCCACAGCCACAAAAAAAAGAAGAUCCGCACGUCACCCACCUUCCGGCGGCCCAAGACACUGCGACUCCGGAGGCAGCCCAAAUAUCCUCGGAAGAGCGCCCCCAGGAGAAACAAACUGGACCACUAUGCUAUCAUCAAGUUUCCUCUGACCACUGAGUCUGCCAUGAAGAAGAUAGAAGACAAUAACACACUUGUGUUCAUUGUGGAUGUUAAAGCCAACAAGCACCAGAUCAAACAGGCUGUGAAGAAGCUCUAUGACAUUGAUGUGGCCAAGGUCAACACCCUGAUUUGGCCUGAUGGAGAGAAGAAGGCAUAUGUUCGACUGGCUCCUGAUUACGAUGCUUUGGAUGCUGCCAACAAAAUUGGGAUCAUCUAAACUGAGUCCAGCUGGCUAAUUCUAAAUAUAU